rnacentral:rRNA from 1 species
GACGUAGGAUGCGAGCGUUGUCCGGAUUUAUUGGGCGUAAAGAGUUCGUAGGUGGUUCGUUAAGUCUGGUGUAAAAGACUGGGGCUCAACCCUGGGAUCGCACUGGAUACUGGCGGACUGGAGUGUAGUAGAGGCAAGCGGAAUUCCCAGUGUAGCGGUGAAAUGCGUAGAUAUUGGGAAGAACACCGGUGGCGCAAGCGGCUUGCUGGGCUAUAACUGACACUGAGGAACGAAAGCUAGGGGAGCGAAUGGG